CGAGGGGCAGCACAGGUAGCAAUACCGGGCGGCGACCGGCGCACGGGUGAGUAACGCGUAUGCAACUUGCCUAUCAGAGGGGGAUAACCCGGCGAAAGUCGGACUAAUACCGCAUGAAGCAGGGAUCCCGCAUGGGAAUAUUUGCUAAAGAUUCAUCGCUGGUAGAUAGGCAUGCGUUCCAUUAGGCAGUUGGCGGGGUAACGGCCCACCAAACCGACGAUGGAUAGGGGUUCUGAGAGGAAGGUCCCCCACAUUGGUACUGAGACACGGACCAAACUCCUACGGGAGGCAGCAGUGAGGAAUAUUGGUCAAUGGCCGAGAGGCUGAACCAGCCAAGUCGCGUGAGGGAUGAAGGUUCUAUGGAUCGUAAACCUCUUUUAUAAGGGAAUAAAGUGCGGGACGUGUCCCGUUUUGUAUGUACCUUAUGAAUAAGGAUCGGCUAACUCCGUGCCAGCAGCCGCGGUAAUACGGAGGAUCCGAGCGUUAUCCGGAUUUAUUGGGUUUAAAGGGUGCGUAGGCGGCCUUUUAAGUCAGCGGUGAAAGUCUGUGGCUCAACCAUAGAAUUGCCGUUGAAACUGGGGGGCUUGAGUAUGUUUGAGGCAGGCGGAAUGCGUGGUGUAGCGGUGAAAUGCAUAGAUAUCACGCAGAACCCCGAUUGCGAAGGCAGUCU
rnacentral:rRNA from 1 species